CUCUCUCUCUCUCUCUCUCUCUCUCUCUCUCUCUCUCUCUCUCUCUCUGUCUAAAUAUCUAAAUCAAUUCAAGGCUUCUCAAUCUGAUCUAAAUCAAUUAGGGACGUUGCCUCUCCUCCGAGAUUCGAUCCCUCACCGCCGAUUUGCUCUCCAACUCUCCGGCCACUAGCAGUAAUUAUUCCUCAUUUCAAGUCUCUGUUUAGUUGGUUCCCUUGAUGCUUGACAGCGAGAGCUCCCAUUCAAUCAUUUUAGGGGCAGUCGUGGGCUUCAAAGAUUAAGAGAUUAUAGUUCAAUUUUCAGAGAGCUCUCAGAUUACCCAGUUCUUGGUUAUCAGUAGAAGAGAUUGUUUUUUUAUAGCAAUCAUGUGUUCGAGCAGUGGAAUGAGAACCGACCUGUGCCAAGGUCUUGAUGUGUUCAGAAGCACCACUAUCAACAGUUUGAUUUGGAGUGUGAUCCUUGCCAAUUAAAGGGUAUCAGUCACCCCAAUGAACCCAGAGCCAAGAAGAAGUGGAUGAGGCAAGAGGAUGCCAAGAGCUCUGCGAAAGUACGUGCGUGGAGGUAUUCAUAGACUCUUUCACAGGGAAGAGGACACUCGAAGUAGCCGGUUGAAAUUGUCAAUAUUCCUGCUGCUAAUGUAGCCUCAAUUUGGUUUUAGUGUUGCAAAGAACGUCAAGUGCAGACAAUCUUGAGGAUCAAUGAUAUCUUUUGCUAUACUAGAUGAAUCACUAGUACAUUCAAACAAUUGAUACCUUGGACAAAAGAAGAGGAACUAAAUGGUGGAAUGUUGCAUAAAGAGUCUUUGGGAGAUCGAGCGUGGAGUACAAAGCAAUGCAGCAAGCUAUAUUUUCUUUCAUCAUGUAAAACUUAACCAGGAAACUUAAAUGCUUUUUAGUCUAUGAGAUGUAUGAAUGCUUUAGCAAUGUUCCUUAAAUUCAAUAUUUUAUGAAUUGAUGUAUCACAAUGAUUUUGGUA